UUUAUCGCAGGCGUCGGCCAUCGCUGCCAACCGAGGUCGGCUGCUGGUGCGACCGCAGUGGUUGCGCCGUGUCGCCUACGCCUUGUGCGAGUCACCUCUGCGCUACGCCUGUGCCCUGCCAACCUUCAUCCUGUUCGGCGUCAACCCGAACCAGCUCAAUCAGUCACGCUUGGCGGUCUACACUAGUCACAUUCCCUCCGGUGCUUCCAAGAGGAACGUCGAACAGUACGCCCAGAUCAUUCGAGCGAGGAACUUCGUCAAGUACAACUAUGGACCACUCAGGAACUUGGAUCUGUUUGGCAC
rnacentral:lncRNA from 1 species